rnacentral:rRNA from 1 species
AGUGAACGCUGGCGGUAGGCCUAACACAUGCAAGUCGAACGGCAGCACAGUAAGAGCUUGCUCUUACGGGUGGCGAGUGGCGGACGGGUGCGGAAUACAUCGGAAUCUACUUUUUCGUGGGGGAUAACGUAGGGAAACUUACGCUAAUACCGCAUACGACCUACGGGUGAAAGCAGGGGACCUUCGGACCUUGCGCGAUUCAAUGAGCCGAUGUCGGAUUAGCUAGUUGGCGGGGUAAAGGCCCACCAAGGCGACGAUCCGUAGCUGGUCUGAGAGGAUGAUCAGCCACACUGGAACUGAGACACGGUCCAGACUCCUACGGGAGGCAGCAGUGGGGAAUAUUGGACAAUGGGCGCAAGCCUGAUCCAGCCAUACCGCGUGGGUGAAGAAGGCCUUCGGGUUGUAAAGCCCUUUUGUUGGGAAAGAAAAGCAGCAGGUUAAUACCCCGCUGUUCUGACGGUACCAAAAGAAUAAGCACCGGCUAACUUCGUG